rnacentral:misc_RNA from 1 species
GAAAUGCGAUAAGUAGUGUGAAUUGCAGAAUUCAGUGAAUCAUCGAAUCUUUGAACGCACAUUGCGCCCCUCGGCAUUCCGUGGGGCAUGCCUGUUCGAGCGUCAUCUACACCCUCAAGCUCUGCUUGGUGUUGGGCGUCUGUCCCGCCUCCGCGCGCGGACUCGCCCCAAAUGCAUUGGCAGCGGUUCCUUGCCCCCCUCUUUGCGCAGCACAUCGCCAUUCGAGGCGGCGGCGGCCCGCGUCCAACAAGCUCAACCCCCCCGUCUUUGACCUCGGAUCAGGUAGGGAUACCCGCUGAACUUAAGC